rnacentral:rRNA from 1 species
GACGAACGCUGGCGGCGUGCUUAACACAUGCAAGUCGAACGGAAAGGCCCUGCUUUUGUGGGCUGCUCGAGUGGCGAACGGGUGAGUAACACGUGAGUAACCUGCCCUUGAUUUUGGGAUAACUUCAGGAAACUGGGCCUAAUCUCGGAUAGCAGCUCCUGCUGCAUGGUGGGGGUGGGAAAGUUUAGGCGGUUGGGGAUGGACUCGCGGCUUAUCAGCUUGUUGGUGGGGUAGUGGCUUACCAAGGCUUUGACGGGUAGCCGGCCUGAGAGGGUGACCGGCCACAUUGGGACUGAGGUACGGCCCAGACUCCUACGGGAGGCAGCAGUGGGGAAUAUUGAACAAUGGGCGGAAGCCUGAUGCGGAAACGCCGCGUGCGGGAUGACGGCCUUCGGGUUGUAAACCGCUUUAGCCUGUGACGAAGCGGGAGUGACGGUAAUGGGUAAAGAAGCACCGGCUAACUACGUG